rnacentral:lncRNA from 13 species
GGCCGGGGCAGGGGGAGGCUGGGAGCUGUUCCGCCGCAGGAGCUUUUGUCCCGGCCUGGCGCUGUGGCGCUGACAUUAACCGGCCAGAAGCCUGAAUCAAGACAGAGGAAACGGAAAACGAAGCAGUCGCCGCCCACACUGAAAUCGGGGCACUCGAGGCUCCUGGAGAACAGGCUCUGGAGCCAACUCACCUGGGCUCACCUGGGCUCACCUGGGCUCAAACCCCAGCUACCCGCCCACAGGCUGGGUGUUGUUGGCUGAGGCAUUUCACCUCCUUGUGCCUCAGUUUCUUCACCUCCCUUAGGGAUGUGUUGGCCUGAAGGUGGGGGGGACGUGUCCAGGGAAGUGAAGACCAGUGAAUGUGGCUCCUGGAGAUGGGCCCAGCAGGUGCCAGUUUCAAGGCAGAGGAGGGUGGUGGCGUGGUCACAGCAGUGCAAUGUGCCUUCUUGUCACCUGAGAGCUCACCCAGGGCCUCACCCGGCUGCUUCUCCAAGGCCCCCCUUUCUGGCCAGCCCCAGAGGAAGGUGAGAUGCUAGGGUGGAUGCGCAGGGGGAGGACUGGGAGGACCGGGGAGGAG